UGGGGAAUAUUGCACAAUGGGCGCAAGCCUGAUGCAGCCAUGCCGCGUGUGUGAAGAAGGCCUUCGGGUUGUAAAGCACUUUCAGCGGGGAGGAAGGCGUUAAGGUUAAUAACCUUGGCGAUUGACGUUACCCGCAGAAGAAGCACCGGCUAACUCCGUGCCAGCAGCCGCGGUAAUACGGAGGGUGCAAGCGUUAAUCGGAAUUACUGGGCGUAAAGCGCACGCAGGCGGUCUGUCAAGUCGGAUGUGAAAUCCCCGGGCUCAACCUGGGAGCUGCAUUCGAAACUGGCAGGCUAGAGUCUUGUAGAGGGGGGUAGAAUUCCAGGUGUAGCGGUGAAAUGCGUAGAGAUCUGGAGGAAUCCCGGUGGCGAAGGCGGCCCCCUGGACAAAGACUGACGCUCAGGUGCGAAAGCGUGGGGAGCAAACAGG
rnacentral:rRNA from 1 species